rfam:Glossina morsitans morsitans, isolate Yale, WGS project CCAG01000000 data, contig: ctg10007777
GGGGCUAGUUUUAGCACGUAGGCGCCAUGGAUGACGAAUCGUGCUCGCUGCUGGCACAAACCCGCAGUAUCUUUCGAAGAUUUCUACCUC